CUAGCGCGCUCGCUUCAUCUCCCCUUUCUCAUCCCCGUGUUGUUGCUCGUCGCCGCCAGAUCUCGUCUCGUCCCAUCGCGCCCCGUUCCAGUGGAGCUCCACCGCCAGAUCAUGCCGAUGUGAAGCCAAGUCGUUGGUGCCCCGUUCCAGUUCUAGACUCCAGUCUAGACCCCAGAUCUGGAGCGCCGCCGCCGGAUCCUGCCACGGACGUGUCAACCGACCGCCGCAGGAACCAUCCUCGCCGACUCCCGACCAAAACCGGGCCAGCAUUUUCUGUCUAUUGUUUUUUGAGGAGGCUGGUUGAUAUUAUGGAUAAUCUACAAUUGUAUAUAAAUUGAUGAGAAUCGGUUGAAGGGAUUGAGGUGGGACAAAAAAUCAAACAUAAUCAACGCAUGACCAGACA